UUUAGGUUCCCCUUUAGACCGGGCCGGGUGAUCAGGUCUAUUUAGGUUCCCCUUUAGACUGGGCCGGGUGAUCAGGUCUAUUUAGGUUCCCCUUUAGACUGGGCCGGGUGAUCAGGUCUAUUUAGGUUCCCCUUUAGACUGGGCCGGGUGAUCAGGUCUAUUUAGGUUCCCCUUUAGACUGGGCCGGGUGAUCAGGUCUAUUUAGGUUCCCCUUUAGACUGGGCCGGGUGAUCAGGUCUAUUUAGGUUCCCCUUUAGACUGGGCCGGGUGAUCAGGUCUAUUUAGGUUCCCCUUUAGACUGGGCCGGGUGAUCAGGUCUAUUUAGGUUCCCCUUUAGACUGGGCCGGGUGAUCAGGUCUAUUUAGGUUCCCCUUUAGACUGGGCCGGGUGAUCAGGUCUAUUUAGGUUCCCCUUUAGACUGGGCUGGGUGAUCAGGUCUAUUUAGGUUCCCCUUUAGACUGGGCCGGUUGAUCAGGUCUCUUGUUUUGUUUAGUGUUCCCCUGUUGCUUUGUUAUUUUGCUGUGAAGACUUUAGUAAAUGUUCUGGAUUCACCCUCACCUCUACCUGCUGUGUUUCUCUGCUCCUGGGUCCAA